ensembl:lncRNA novel transcript
GGGGCUCGCCAUGCCCUCGCCUCCUGGAGUUGAAUUCUUCCGCUCGCACAUGGUGGUUCCUCUUUCUGAGGCAGCACCACGCACCUGUGCCCUCCAGUGGCUGCAUUUCCCUGGGACUGCAUGCUGAGGGGAUGUCACCCAGAGACCCCGACCCCCCUCAACACACAGCACCGUUGUUACUUUGCCUCAUUUUCCUGCUCCCAUGUCCCAGGGAGCCAGUCAGUACCGCAUAGUAGGGCAAUUGAUCGGUUCUGGCUAAUCCAUAAGGGAGGGGAGAUCUCAGCCUGCCGCCCAAUGGGGAGCAUGUGGCACUCUGGAAAGAGCAUGUGCUCUAGAGCCAGAGGGCAUGGGUUCAAGGUCUCCCUUCUACCUUUCUAGCUGUGUGACUUUGGGGAAGCUGCUUGACUUCUCUGAGUCUCCACUUACUAAUCUAUAAAAGCAGAAGUCGGAUGGGAGCUGAGAGGAGGACUCUCACAAGCAACCUCAGAGGAUUGGGAAGAGGACCUGUGGACUGGGCGGCCCACACAACUGCUGUAACCUCAGGCAGUUUUCAAGCAGAUUGACCUUCCUGCUGGAACACGGCACAUGAGGUGAAGUUCUCCUCUACCCAGGGUUGCUUGGCCUUGCCUCCACCAUGCCUGACACUGGCGCUCUGCUGGGAGGAAAAAGCUUGCUCUGUUGCUGGCUGUGUGGAACAGAGAGGGAAGUGGCAGACAGUCUGGGCCCAGCACUUGGGUAUCGUGCUCUAGCCAUGCGACUCAUCUCUCCAGUUCAGACCUGCCCCUGGAAAAAAGAGCCCAGACCUCAUCAUGAAUGCUUUCCUAGGAGAAAAUGAACAGCUGGACAAUGCUCCUGGUCAGUAGGCCUGAAGGAUGCUGGGAUGCAGCCCUCAAGAUGGAACAGCCAGGAUGCCAAGUAUCCCUCUUGCCCAGAUCCUAAGGCACUUUUUCUACUGAUCCAUAUUGGCCUCAGGAGAUGUCUCAACACAGCACCCCAGCCAAUGGAGCUGCCACAUAAGAUGAACUCUUGAUCAUCUCUAAACUAGAGAGUUAAACUCAACACUAGCAAACGACUUUGGGUUUAUGCAUAUGUCAUGUUUUCUCUGGCAACUGCACAGAAUCAUCUCUAAAUAUCACAUCUAUGGUUGGCAGGAGUGGCAUGUAUAAUACAAAAUGUCUGGUGGCCCUACUGUCACAAAACCUGUAUAAAAGUAAAUUCACAAAUGGCUUUUUAGAACUGAUGACAAAAAGUUACUCGUUAUCACUUUUCUAAUUAAUUUCCUAAAAGGGCAAUUUGAAAUCAUACUGGGAUUCUCACAAUUUUGGUUGACAGUCAAGUAAAUUGCAGCUACUUAUCAAGCACUUUUGAAUGAAUACAUGAAGAAUGAAUAAAAUGAAAGCUCUCCUGUUGCCCUCA